AAAAAAUAAAAAAUAAAUUUUUUUUUUGGCCAUAAUAUCCUUCAUAGCCUCAUCAUAUGAACAUGAAUUGUAUUGUAUAUUACUAAAAAGAGAAAUAACUUCAAAAAAUUAAAAAUAAUACCUUCAAAUCAACUACUAAUAUGAAGGGAAGAUGUUUCCUUGAGAAUGAAUGAAAGGCAAAAUCUUUCUUGUAAAUGGGAGAAAUUUUAAGGGAUUUUUUUGGCAUUUUUGGCCAAAUUAUUCAAGUGGCUUAAAUGAGCUCAUCGUUCGCCCACCCAACCAGCAUACAAGCUUGCGCUAAUACGAGAUAUGCAAAGAGAGAUUGGUGGUGACAUUAAGCAGAGCAAUAAAUGACGGCAAUUUGGUGCAACCCACAACCAUUUUCAUCACAGUUGUUGCCAGGCAGCAGGGUCCAAUCGAUUCUUGUUUCUUGCUUUCUGUUUCCCCUUCUUUCAAUGAUUUCUUCCCGGGAUUUCUACUUAUUGUUCAACAGAUUUAAUUUUGAUCUUCUAUGCAGAGGAUUUAUGGGUUCCAAUGCUGCUCUAGUCCACCCAAUCACAAAAAUAGAGAAACCCAAACUCCCCAGUUAUUGAAGGUUGCUGUCAGUGGUGUUACAGAACUCCUAAGGCUCAUUUCUUUUACUG
rnacentral:lncRNA from 1 species